rnacentral:rRNA from 1 species
UACGGAGGAUCCGAGCGUUAUCCGGAUUUAUUGGGUUUAAAGGGUGCGCAGGCGGAAGAUUAAGUCGGUGGUGAAAUUUUGCAGCUCAACUGUAAAAGUGCCAUUGAUACUGGUUUUCUUGAGUGUGGAUGAAGUAGGCGGAAUUUGUGGUGUAGCGGUGAAAUGCAUAGAUAUCACGAGGAACUCCGAUUGCGCAGGCAGCUUACUAGGCCAUAACUGACGCUCAGGCACGAAGGCGUGGGGAUCAAACAGGAUUAGA